rnacentral:tRNA from 1 species
GGCAGUAUAGCUAAGUUGGUAGAGAGCUUGCCUCACAUUCAGGAAGCCCUGGGUUCAGUUCCUAGCAGUGCUU